AUAAUAGCCAUCCUAACAGGUGUGAAGUAGUACCUCAUCGUAGCUUUGAUUUGCAUUUCCCUAAUAAUUAAGCAUAUUGGACAUCUUUUCAUGUGUCUAUUGGCCGCCUGUAUGUCUCCUUUGGAAAAAUGUCUCUUCAGCUCCUCUGCUCCCUUUUUAAUCUCCUUGUUUGUUUUUUGUUGUGGUUGAGUUGUAUAAGGUCUUUAAAAGGGACAGCAGUAGAUUCAAAGACUACAUUACUUGAGAUGCUGCUGGCAGAACAGGUCAACACUGGCACAGAAGCCACGUCAAAACAGGUCAGGUGCUCAGAAGGGCUGGCCCAAUGCCUCCAUUGUUGGAACCAUCGACUUACCCAACACACACUUGGUAAUGGAACACUGUGUCACUAGCAGGCAGGGAUAAAUCCAAGAAGAAAGGAAAAGAGCAUACCUGCUACACAAACUCCAAUUGCUCGAAACUGUUAAAGAGAAUACUUGUAAAUGGGAACCAGACCAGUGAGAGAGAAACUACUGUAAAGUCUUUCUGUAUCUUGUCUGGCUGUGACAAGAGAGAGUGGCAUAGGCAAUGUUUUCUUAACAAGAGGAUCAGCCUGCCCCAGGGAGACCCCCAGGAGAAAUAUUCCAUUUGAACCACUAUGUUCUGUCCUAUUUAAAAGAUGUUUCCAGCAAAUCCUUUUACCUUAGUCCUCAUGUAAAUAAUAAAACCCAAGAGAACCACUUGCUUGCUUUCUCUUUUCAAGCAAAGACUACUUGUAACUGCUAAGCCUGUCUCCUUUUAACUAGUAAAUAGAGUUAAAUUUAAAAAUUGGGAGUUCCCGUUGUGGCUCAGUGGUAAUGAACCCGACUGGUAUCCAUGAGGAUGAGGGUUCCAUCCCUGGCCUCGCUCAGUGGGUUAAAGGAUCAGUGUUGCCAUGAGCUUUGGUGUAGGUCCCAGACAUAGCUCAGAUCCUACAUUUCUGAGGCUGUGGUAUAGGCCAACAACUGUCGCUCCGAUUCAAACCCUAGCCUGGGAACUUCCAUAUGCCGCAGACGUGGUCCUAAAAAGCAAAAAAAAAAAAAAAAAAAUAGGUCCUACUUCAUCUACGUUGGACCAGAAUUCAGAUUAAAGGUUCAUUUUGUCAAAGAUAACCCUUUAUCUCUUGGAUAACUCUGGUCAUAUCAAGUAGAAAUUAUCAUAAUUAAACUUUUUAAACCAGAUUUUUUGGUGUGUGUGUCAAUAUAGGAAAACCAGCAGAUUGAACAGUUCUCUCCACAGGUUAAACGAGGUUGUUAGGAACCUCAGAGAAGCAAAUCAUGAAGGAGAGAGAAAAGAAAGAUUGGAGACAAAACUUGACAAAUCUACAAAGAACCAGGGCAGAAAAAGAGACAAAUUGGGAGCUAAGAAAUACAGGAACAAAUCUUCUCAACAUGAAUUUGAUUUGGCAUGGGGCCUCUGACCCUUUCAGAUCCAAUCUCUUAAGCUUCUCUUUGUAUUUUUCCAUUUUACUGCAUGCUUGCUACACACCCAUCUAAGUGAGUCCCUGGUGCUUGAUUUUAGUGAUUUACCUAAAAUUGGCAAUAAAAGGUGUUUCUGGGCCAUGACGUUUAGAAUAUAAGGAACAGUCAAUUAUUAGGAUUACUAGAGAAGAGAGUCUUGAUUGCUGGAGCAGUGAGGCGAGGAGUCCCUGCAGAGAGCUGCCAUUUGCAACCACCCAGGCCAACGGAGCACAAUUUGAGGUGGGAAGAGGGGGGAAUUGCCAUGAACCUCUUGAGAAAAGUAGCACUGGCUUUGAGUUGUCAGUGAAAAAUCAGGAAUGAUUUUUACCACAAUAAAACAUCUCAAAAUUGGAAUAAGCCUACCUAAAUUCCAAGUUACGUCCAUGCAAUAGAAUCAGACCGUAUUGCACUAACUUUCCCAGAGAGUGCUAAUGAAUACACAACUGGACUUUCGUGGCUUAAAAUUCCAACAGUACUUUGAAACUAUAGCCAGAAUUUAUUGAAAUUCAGAGGAACAUCUGGGGUAGGGCAGGGUCAGGGGGCUGCCUUGAUUAACUCUUUAGAAGGAGUAGAAUUUUACCUGAGGUCGUGCUGAGUGUUAAACAGUGAAUUCAUGGUCAUGGAAAAUUACGGUGAAAGUUAGCAGUGGGUAGACAAAUUAGGGCUUUUUUUAAAAAAAUGGUUAUAUAUGUCUCAAUAUAAUCAUCAGAGGAUGCAUGCUAAUUAAUAUCAAUAAGACUUUAAAAUCACAACACAAUACUUGAGAGCUGACAAGUCUAUCAAUUGUUAAAAAGAAACUAUCUAAUUUACAAACAAGCUAUGAUAACAAAAAUAACCAAUACUAAUAGAAGUUUUGUUCCUAAAAUGCAAGUUUCCUAAUAAUUUUUCAUCAGAAAACAACUACUUUAGAAAUAACACAGAACUGUUUCACUGUCUAUAGGCCCAGCUUCUUUAUAAUUGGCUUGAAUCCCACCUUCGUUGUUGCUGCCUUCCCUCUGUGACCACCUAUAACCCUCAUCUUGGCACCUAUCUAGUUGUUUGAAUUAAUUCUUUUUUUUUUUAUUUGUCCACAUCACAGCAUAUGUAAGUUCCCAGGUCAGGGAUUGAAUCUGAGAUGCAGUUGCAACCUGCACCACAGCUGCACCAAUGCCCAAUCCUUAAUCCAUUGUGCUACAGCAAGAACUCCAGAAUUAAUUCUUUAUUUGUUUCAUUUAUUUAUUGAUUUAUUUAUCAUUUUGCUUUUUAGGGCCGCAGGUGCAGCAUAUGGAAGUUCCCAGGCUAGGGGUGGAAUGGGAAGUACAGCUGCCAGCCUAUGCCACUGCCAUAACAACUGGGAAUCUGAGCCACGCCUGCAACCUAUACCACAGCUCACAGCAAUGCCAGAUCCUUGACUACUGAGCAAGGCCAGGGAUGGAAUUUGAAUCCUCAUGGACAGUACUCAGAUUCAUUUCUGAUGCACCACAUGGGAACUCCUUAAUUCAUUUUUUAAAUGAUGUAUGUGUCCUGCUUUGUUUAGGACACUCUCAGUAUCUAAGGGUAGGGCUCAUAUCUUCCAAAGGAUCUAGAAAAAUACAAUAAUAUUUCUGUGGCUUGGUGUUUGAAAAAUAAGCUGACUAGUAGCUCAAGUUGUCUCUUUGGUUUUUUAUACUCAGAAAUGAAAUGAAAUGAAAUUUUUGGAUUUAGCUUAAAAGAUUCCUAAAUCAAGAGGAUUUUUUAUCCCAAAUCUGCAUGUCAGAAUGGCAUUCUGACCUAUGACCUAUAACUAGAGAUACUGAGAGAAACCAAACUAUGCUAUGAUUAUUUUGUCAUCCUUGUUCAUUUUCCCGAAAAUGUAUUCAACCAGUUUUCUAAUAUAUCAUAAUGGGUGAGAUCAACGUGAUCCGUAACAGUUUCAAAGCUUCAACGUGAUCCUGUGUGUGGCAGGAUCACAGUUCAUUUACUUUUCAAACAUUUAGCGAGCCCCUGUUCCCUGUGUGGAAGGCUUGAGAGAACAACUACUAUUUGCACAGCAGCUUAGAGUCAGCAAAGCCCUUCUCCACACAUUUUCUCUUUAGACCUUCAGGGCAACCCUGAAAGGUAGGUAGGCAGGUGUCACCGGUGACCUUUUACAGGGUAGAGAAAUAAGAAGCCCAGAAACAAGAGAAUGAGAACCCAGCGCAGAGUCAUUUGAACAUUUCCCACUUUGUCUCUAGAAGUUUUAUUUUGAAAUCAAUCCUUAGGAUUCAGAUGACCGAGUUCUAAGAAUUCCAGGCAUUUAAGAUUUUAGUGUUUUCACAGCAAAAGUGUUUUGAUUUGAUAUUCUUCAGCAAUGUUAUCAUUUAUUGACAGCUCACUUAGUACUUCCCAAGGCUCUUGUGCAGCUGUUUGACAACACUGCUUCAUCACUUUCCCUGAGCUGUCAAACAUCCUGCAAACCUAUCUCAUGCCA
rnacentral:lncRNA from 1 species